rnacentral:tRNA from 1 species
GCCGAAGUGGCGGAAUUGGCAGACGCACUUGACUCAAAAUCAAGCGCUUUUCCGAGCGUGCCGGUUCGAGUCCGGCCUUCGGCACCA